rnacentral:rRNA from 1 species
AAUUAAGGGCGCAUGGGGGAUGCCUUGGCUUAUAGCGGCGAUGAAGGACGUGGCAAGCGACGAAAUUGUGCGGGGAUUUGCAAGCAAGAUUUGAUCCGCACGUGUCCGAAUGGGGCAACCCAUUAGGUUGAAGACCUAAUACUUCCCGAAAGGAAGAGCAAACCCGGAGAACUGAAACAUCUUAGUACCCGGAGGAAUAGAAAGAAAAUAUCGACUCCCUGAGUAGUGGCGAGCGAAAAGGGAAUAGCCCAAACCGUGUUCGUUUCGGCGGAUGCGGGGUUGUAGGACACUUUUUUAUACUUUACAACAAAACGGAACACAACUGGAAAGUUGGACAACAAAGGGUGAUAGUCCCGUACGUGUAAUGAUUGUAAAGUAGUAAGUGUAUCCUGAGUAAGGCGGGACACGAGGAAUCCUGUCUGAAUCUGCGGGGACCAUCCCGUAAGGCUAAGUACGACUAUAAGACCGAUAGUGAACCAGUACUGUGAAGGAAAGGUGAAAAGUACCCCGAACAGGGGGGUGAAAAAGUACCUGAAACCGUGCGCCUACAAGCGGUCGGAGCAUCUAUAAGAUGUGACGGCGUGCCUUUUGCAUAAUGAGCCUACGAGUUACUCCUCACCAGCAAGAUUAAGUAAUUAAGUUACGGAGUCGAAGCGAAAGCGAGUCUGAAUAGGGCGAUUUAGUUGGUGGGGGUAGACGCGAAACCUUGCGAUCUACACUUGGUCAGAAUGAAGUUGUCGUAACAGACAAUGGAGGUUCGAACUAAUAUGCGUUGAAAAGCAUUUGGAUGAACUGAGUGUAGGGGUGAAAGGCUAAUCAAGCUGGGAAAUAGCUCGUACUCCCCGAAAUGCCUUUUGGGGCAGCCUUGCAAAUAGUUAACAGAGGUAGAGCUACCGAUAGGAUGCGAGGGCUUCACCGCCUAUCAAAUCCUGACGAACUCCGAAUGCUGUUAACCGAAUUGCAGGAGUGAGUCUCCGGGUGCUAACGUCCGGGGGCAAAAGGAGAAGAAUCCAGACCAUCAGCUAAUGGUCCCAAAGCGUAUGCUAAGUUGAAUAAACGAGGUUCGGCUGCACUGACAGCUAGGAUGUUGGCUUGGAAGCAGCCAUUCAUUCAAAGAGUGCGUAACAGCUCACUAGUCGAGCGGCUGAGCAUGGAUAAUAACCGGGCAUCAAGCAUACCACCGAAGCUAUGGAAUUUUCAUCGAUAAGAUGAUAAUUGGUAGGGGAGCAUUCCAAUCAGCGUCGAAGCGACAAACCGCGAGGUGUCGUGGAGCGGUUGGAAAAGCAGAUGUAGGCAUAAGUAACGAUAAAGAGGGUGAAAACCCCUCUCACCGAAAACCCAAGGGUUCCUGAUCAACGUCAAUCAGAUCAGGGUUAGGCGGGACCUAAGGAUAAGGCGAAAGCCGAUGCCGAUGGAAUGACGGUUAAUAUUCCGUCCCCGCGCUGCAUUUCGAUGGGGCGACAAAGUAGUGAAAGCACCGCGUACUGACGGAUUAGUACGUUAAACGGCGUAGUUAUAUUUCCUUAGUAAUUUUUGGAGAUGAUGAAACCGGACAGUACCACAAAGUUUCGACCGCGUGGAUAGUGUGCCUAAUCAGACUUUCAAGAAAACCCCCUAAGUUAUGAUGUAGCGUGCCCGUACCGUAAACCGACACAGGUGGGUGGGAAGAGUAUUCUAAGGUGCUUGAGAGAAUCGUGGCUAAGGAACUCGGCAAAUUAGUCCUGUAACUUCGGGAGAAAGGACCCCGCAGCGAUGCGGGCGCAGAGAAAUGGCCCAGGCGACUGUUUAGCAAAAACACAUGGCUAUGCCAAAUCGGAAGAUGAAGUAUAUGGCCUGACACCUGCCCGGUGCUGGAAGGUUAAGAGGGGAUGUUCGGCGCAAGCCAAAGCAUUGAAUUGAAGCCCCAGUAAACGGCGGCCGUAACUAUAACGGUCCUAAGGUAGCGAAAUUCCUUGUCGGGUAAGUUCCGACCUGCACGAAUGGUGUAACGAUCUGGGCACUGUCUCAGCCACGAGCUCAGUGAAAUUGAAGUCACGGUGAAGAUGCCGUGUACCCGCAACGGGACGAAAAGACCCCGUGAACCUUUACUGCAACUUAACACUGUUUUUGGACAUCGGAUGUGUAGGAUAGGUGGGAGACUAUGAAGCGGGAACGCUAGUUUUCGUGGAGUCAACGUUGAAAUACCACCCUUCUGCUGUUUGGAAUCUAAUCACGAAAGUGAGACACUGUUUGGUGGGUAGUUUGACUGGGGUGGUCGCCUCCAAAAGAGUAACGGAGGCUUCCCAAGGUGCGCUCAGCACGGAUGGUAAUCGUGCGCAGAGUAUAUUGGUAUAAGCGCGCUUGACUGCGAGACCGACGGGUCGAGCAGGUGCGAAAGCAGGGCAAAGUGAUCCGGUGGCGCUGUAUGGAUGGGCCAUCGCUCAAAGGAUAAAAGGUACUCCGGGGAUAACAGGCUGAUCGCCGCCAAGAGUUCAUAUCGACGCGGCGGUUUGGCACCUCGAUGUCGGCUCGUCACAUCCUGGGGCUGAAGUAGGUCCCAAGGGUUCGGCUGUUCGCCGAUUAAAGUGGCACGCGAGCUGGGUUCAGAACGUCGUGAGACAGUUCGGUCUCUAUCUGUUGUGGGCGUAGGAGUCUUGAGGAGUGCUGACCUUAGUACGAGAGGACCGGGUUGGACGUACCGCUGGUGUAUCGGUUGUUUCGCCAGAAGCAUCGCCGAGUAGCUACGUACGGUUUUGGAUAAGCGCUGAAAGCAUCUAAGCGCGAAGCCGUCUCCAAGAUGAGGACUCCCUUAAGGGUCGUGGAAGACUACCACGUUGAUAGGCGAUAGGUCUAAAGGCAGCAAUGUCAAAGCCGAGUCGUACUAAUUGCCCGAUUGA